CAGACAUCCAAACCAUCCCCGAAAAGCCCACUGGGGGCCCGAAAGCAAGGAGCGGCAACGUCCGGAGGGGAGCUGAGACACCUCGUAUAACACGUUCUUCCAGGAGGAGGACUAUCCAGUGGUGAGGUACCUGAGACAGCCUCUGCACUUUGAGGUGGAGCUGACCACGUCCUCUGAUCCCAAGGUAGCGCUGGUGCUUGACCACUGCUGGGCCACCCUCAACGAGGACCGUGACUCCCGACCCUGGUGGGAUCUCAUCAUUAAUGGAUCUCCACCCAAUUUAACACUUAUGGGAGAUUCUGGCGCGUAUGAUCACAUGCUUGUUAUCACUGAGUGGUCCCUGCAGCGUAUCAUUGGAACGGAACGUAUGCUGCAUCAAACAACUCUAAACCGCGUUGUCUGAAAAGCAUCUAACCAAUAUUUUGUACUGUUGAG